rnacentral:ncRNA from 1 species
CUGGUUGAUCCCGUCAGUAGUCAUAUGCUUGUCUCGAAAGAUUAAGCCAUGCAUGUUUAAGUACAUGCCGUAUUAAGGCAAAACCGCGAAUGGCUCAUUAAAUCAGUUCUACUCGUAGUUCCUUGGAUCGUACUUUAUUACUUGGAUAACUGUGGCAAUUCUACAGCUAAUACAUACAGCAGAGCCCCGACCCUCUGGGGACGAGCACUUUUAUUAGACCAAAACCAAUCGGACCUCGUGUCCGUAUUAUGUAAUCACUCUGUAUAAUUUUGGGCUGAUUGCACGGGCUCGACUGGGUGACGUAUCUUUCAAGUAUCUGCCUUUCAGCUGGUAGGUGACGCGCCUACCAUGGUCGUAACGGGUGACGGGGAAUCAGGAUUUGAUUCCGGAGAGGGAGAUUGAGAAACGGCUACCACAUCCAAGCAAUUCAGCAGGCGCGCAAAUUACCCACUCCGAGAACGGGGAGGUAGUGACGAAAAAUAACAAUACGGGACUCUUUUGAGACCCCGUAGUUGGGAUAAAUACACUCUAAAUCCUUUAACUAGGAUCAAUUGGAAGACGAAGUCGAGGCUGCUAGGGAUUCAUUUUUUUUAUGGCCACCCUCUACUUUGACUUGUGUGUAAGUAUGAGAUUUGAAAUCUCCUUGUAGUCUGUACU